rnacentral:misc_RNA from 1 species
ACGUUGUUGCAUGUGAUGACAGGUGAUAGCGUUGGUGAGCAGCAGCUGGACUCGUGGUACGACGCCCGCUGUGAUGUCUGGUCACUGGGUAUCACUGCUAUCGAACUGGCGCAGGGUGACCCUCCUCUGUCAGACUUGCACCCUAUGCGGGCGCUGUUCCAAAUACCACGCAACCCACCACCAACGCUGGAACGGACUGACUGCCCUGACCUGGCAGACUUCGUGGCUGAGCUACUUGUCAAAGACCUGGAGCAACGGCCUUUCGCUAAGGAACUUCUCAGGCAUCCCCUCAUGAAGAAAGGAGCAGUGUGCGCUCAAAAGGUGCGGGCUGAACUUCAGGCUGAAAUCAAACGACAACGUGUGAGUGGACGUUGCCACAGACAGCCUGAAGUAACCACAAAACAUGGGAAACUGAAGACUGACCGGAAAGAAAUGCCUCGGAAGAUGUAUGUCGACGAUUUAGCAGUUCUUGAUAUUUUAACCGAGGACUCAAUAGUUGAACAGCUUCAACAGAGGUAUGAGAUGAACCAAAUCUACACUUACAUUGGUGAUAUUCUUGUGGCUGUGAACCCAUUUACUGACCUUGGCAUGUACACACCAAUGGAACAGAAGCGAUACUGUAGUCAGUCUCGUAGUGCAAACCCUCCACACAUUUUUGCGGUAGCUGACGCAGCGUAUCAGGCGCUGAUGCACCAAAGAAUCAGCCAAAGUAUAGUCAUCAGUGGGGAGAGUGGUGCAGGAAAGACCGAGAGUGGCAACUUGCUCCUCAAACAACUUGUCUUCCUAGGCAAGGCACCAAAUCGUGACCUGGAGGCUCGUAUUCUCCAAGUAAACCCAAUCAUGGAGGCAUUUGGCAACGCUCAGACAGGGAUCAACUCCAACUCAUCGAGGUUUGGGAAAUUCCUGGAAUUGAGUAUGACAAGAGGUGGUCGUGUGACAGGCGCUCGACUCUCUGUUUACCUCUUGGAGCAAUCUCGGGUUGCGCAGCAGAUGCAAAGUGAAAGAAACUUCCAUGUGUUUUACUACCUAUACGAUGGCCUCAACAAUGAUGGUAGGCUAGCAGAGUUCCACCUGGAUCCCUUACUACGAACACGGCACACCUUCCUCACUGCUGACAGUCAGGACGUCCUGAGUCGCCAGAACAAUGUACAAAAAUUCAGAGAGCUGAAGUCUGCAUUUGAGGUGGUCGGGUUCAGAGACGGUGAGGUCAACUCAAUUUACCGAGUCAUCUCAGGUAUCCUACACCUUGGGGAUAUUGAAUUCGGAGAAGUGAUCUCAGAUGACAACACUGACAACAAGAGUAGAGUCAUCGAUCUUGCACCUUUACACCGAGGUUCCAGCUUACUGGGGAUAGAAGCAAGUGACCUGCUGGAGUGCCUGACAGCAAACAGUGUCGUAACCCGAGGAGAAACCAUAACCAGGAAUAACUCUGUGGUGGAAGCCAUUGCCACGAGAGAUGCAAUGGCAAAGGCCCUCUACAGUCGGCUUUUUGACUGGCUUGUCAACUGUGUCAAUAGCCUGCUGUCUUUCAACUCAAGAGGGGAGCAACUAGUCAUAGGUUUGCUGGAUAUUUUUGGUUUUGAAAACUUUGCCCACAACUCGUUUGAACAACUGUGUAUCAACGUGGCUAACGAACAGAUCCAAUAUUACUUCAACCAGCACAUCUUCACUUGGGAGCAGCAGGAGUACAUGGCUGAGGGUAUACCAGUAGACCUGGUGGAGUUCACAGACAACCGGCCAGUGUUGGACAUGUUGCUCUCUCGCCCACUGGGACUGCUGGCAUUGCUGGACGAGGAGAGUCGCUUUCCUCGCUCUACUGACCGCUCUCUCAUUGAAAAAUUCCAUGCAAAUGUAAAGAGCAAACUGUACAUCAGGCCAAAGUCAAAUGCUCUUUGCUUUGCGAUACAACACUUUGCGGGUCGAGUGGUCUACCAGGCUGAGGGGUUCCUGGACAAGAACCGCCACUUCCUGGCACCAGAAGUGAUCCAGCUGCUGAGGACUUCAGUGGUAGACACAGUCCGCUACCUCUUCCAGUGCCCCAUCACCAAAACGGGGAAUCUAUUCUCAGCUAGCCCUGCUGACACCCCUGCCGGCACCAGGGAUGCAAACCGUUGUGCAAGUGUGAUGGCGCUACAAUCACAGUCUCGGGCCCAGCAGACAGCAGCUACGUAUUUCCGCUACUCGCUGAUGGAACUGCUGCAGAAGAUGGUAGCUGGGGCACCGCAGUUCGUCCGCUGUAUCAAACCUAAUGACCAGAAGUCCCCGAGGAUGUUUGACCCGGCCAAGGUUGUCCGCCAGCUCAGGUACACAGGAGUCCUUGAGACUAUAAGAAUCCGCCAGCACGGUUUCUCCCAUCGAAUACCAUUUGCGGAAUUCCUUAAAAGAUAUUGCUUUCUUGCAUUCGGGUUUGAUGAGAGAGUUAUGGCAACAAGAGACAACUGUCGUUUGUUACUGGUUAGGCUUAAAAUGGAUGGCUGGGCUCUCGGCAAGACCAAAGUGUUCCUUAAAUACUACCACAUUGAAUACCUCUCCAAAUUAUAUGAAGAUCAGGUGCGCAAGAUCGUUUUAGUACAGUGCUGUGUGAGGCGGUGGUUGGCCCGCACGAGGUACCAGAAGGUGAGGUGGCAACUGGCGUCGAGCGUUGUGACACUACAAAGGUAUGUCCGGGGCUGGAUUGCUCGCAAAGAAUUGGAGACACGAAAGAACAAGGAAGAAAACAGGAAGAACAACGCGAAAAACAAGGCCAUGCGGAAACAGAAGAGUGCAGAGAAGGACAGAGAAAUUACAACGCAACAGAUGGAAGACAACUCAGCAAGUCCUAUAUCAGAACUGGGCACCCCCUGGGGCAAUGUGCAGAUGAGAAGGAAGUUCUUCUCGGAACUUGAAGACAAAGAUGAGGCUGCCACAAUCAUUCAAAGCCAUUUCAGAGGUUAUACUGUAAGGAGACACUGGGCACCAGAAGUGGCCAGAAGAAUACACAAUGGCAUGCAGAAUGCAGUACCAGUUUCACCAGUAAAGACUAAGCCAACAGAUCGUCAAGCUCAGCUAAUUACUCUGUCCCAGGAUGUACACAUGAAAAAUCAAGAUGUCCAUAAAUACCUGAGAAACAACAAACAGGGCGUCCACUUAAACAAUAUUGAGGAGACCAAACGAGUUUAUGGACAGAAAUCUGUUGUGCAUGAAGUAGCAAAGAAGCAUGGUGCCAGUUCCUAUUACAAACAAGUACAAGAAGAGAUGAAUAGUGGGUUACAGUCCGUCACCGGAUUCAUCAGAUGAGAUUUCGGCCUGGGACUUGCCGAUCAUCCAGCUGGAAAACCAACUUCGUCCCCUCAGGCCACGGAUGGUGACUCUCAGUAUAGAAGCAGAACGCAGAGAACUGCUCAAUGCAGGGAGGAACAACCUCCACUGGCAGAGUCCACCCGUGACACCGAG